GAUAAACGCUAGCGGCGUGCAUUAUGCAUGCAAGUCGAACGGUAUAUCGAAAGAUAUGCAGUGGCAAACGGCUGAAUAACACGUAAGCAACCUGUCCUUAAGUGGGGAAUAAUCCGCCGAAAGGUGGACUAAUACCGCAUGUGGUAAUAGAGGUAGUGCUUUAUUACUAAAGCUCUCGGGCGCUUGAGGAGGGGCUUGCGGCCUAUCAGGUAGUUGGUGGGGUAACGGCUCACCAAGCCUAUGACGGGUAGCUGGUCUGAGAGGAUGUCCAGCCAGACGGGGACUGAGACACGGCCCCGAUCCUACGGGUGGCAG
rnacentral:rRNA from 1 species